CCUACGGGAGGCUGCAGUGGGGAAUAUUGGACAAUGGGGGGAACCCUGAUCCAGCCAUGCCGCGUGUGUGAAGAAGGCCCUCGGGUUGUAAAGCACUUUCAGUGAGGAAGAACGCCUGGUGGUUAAUACCCAUCAGGAAAGACAUCACUCACAGAAGAAGCACCGGCUAACUCCGUGCCAGCAGCCGCGGUAAUACGGAGGGUGCGAGCGUUAAUCGGAAUUACUGGGCGUAAAGCGCGCGUAGGUGGCUUGAUAAGCCGGUUGUGAAAGCCCCGGGCUCAACCUGGGAACGGCAUCCGGAACUGUCAAGCUAGAGUGCAGGAGAGGAAGGUAGAAUUCCCGGUGUAGCGGUGAAAUGCGUAGAGAUAGGGAGGAAUACCAGUGGCGAAGGCGGCCUUCUGGACUGACACUGACACUGAGGUGCGAAAGCGUGGGUAGCAAACAGGAUUAGAUACCCCAGUAGUC
rnacentral:rRNA from 1 species